AGUUAAGUAAGGGCGUAUGGCGGAUGCCUAGGCUUUCAGAGGCGAAGAAGGACGUGGUAAGCUGCGAAAAGCUCGGGGGAUUGGCACACACGAAUAGAUCCCGAGAUGUCCGAAUGGGGCAACCCGGCAUGUUGAAGACAUGUCAUCUUGAUGUUUACAUUGAGAAGCAAACCCGGAGAACUGAAACAUCUAAG
rnacentral:rRNA from 1 species